rnacentral:rRNA from 1 species
CCUACGGGCGGCUGCAGUGGGGAAUAUUGGACAAUGGGCGAAAGCCUGAUCCAGCCAUGCCGCGUGUGUGAAGAAGGCCUUCGGGUUGUAAAGCACUUUCAGUGGGGAAGAAAGCCUUGGGGCUAAUACCCUCGAGGAAGGACAUCACCCACAGAAGAAGCACCGGCUAACUCCGUGCCAGCAGCCGCGGUAAUACGGAGGGUGCGAGCGUUAAUCGGAAUUACUGGGCGUAAAGCGCGCGUAGGCGGUCUGAUAAGCCGGUUGUGAAAGCCCCGGGCUCAACCUGGGAACGGCAUCCGGAACUGUCAGGCUAGAGUGCAGGAGAGGAAGGUAGAAUUCCCGGUGUAGCGGUGAAAUGCGUAGAGAUCGGGAGGAAUACCAGUGGCGAAGGCGGCCUUCUGGACUGACACUGACGCUGAGGUGCGAAAGCGUGGGUAGCAAACAGGAGUAGAUACCCCAGUAGUC